CGGUUGAUCCUGCCGGAGGUCACUGCUAUCGGUGUUCGACUAAGCCAUGCAAGUCAAAUGUUCUUCGUGAACAUGGCGAACUGCUCAGUAACACGUGGAUAACCUGCCCCUGGGAUUGGCAUAACACCGGGAAACUGGUGAUAAUACCGAAUAGACCAUCAUUGCUGGAAUGCUUUUUGGUCCAAAGGCUUCGGCCGCCCAUGGAUGGAUCUGCGGCCUAUCAGGUAGUAGUGGGUGUAAUGUACCUACUAGCCUACGACGGGUACGGGUUGUGAGAGCAAGAGCCCGGAGAUGGAUUCUGAGACAUGAAUCCAGACCCUACGGGGUGCAGCAGGCGCGAAAACUUUACAAUGCGGGAAACCGCGAUAAGGGGACACUGAGUGCCAGCAUAUUAUGUUGGCUGUCCACAUGUUUAAAAGUCAUGUGUCAGCAAGGGCCGGGCAAGACCGGUGCCGGCCGCCGCGGUAACACCGGCGGCCCGAGUGGUGAUCACUUUUAUUGGGUCUAAAGGGUCCGUAGCCGGUUUGAUCAGUCUUCCGGGAAAUCUGACAGCUCAACUGUUAGGCUUCCGGUGGAUACUGUCAGACUUGGGACCGGGAGAGGUAAGAGGUACUACAGGGGUAGGAGUGAAAUCUUGUAAUCCCUGUGGGACCACCAGUGGCGAAAGGNGUCUUACCAGAACGGGUCCGACGGUGAGGGACGAAAGCUGGGGGCACGAACCGGAUUAGAUACCCGGGUAGUCCCAGCCGUAAACGAUGCUCGCUAGGUGUC
rnacentral:rRNA from 1 species